rnacentral:rRNA from 1 species
AGCCUGAACGCUGGCGGCGUGGCUAAGACAUGCAAGUCGCACGGUGCCGGGAAACCGGCACAGUGGCGAACGGGUGAGUAAUGAAUCGCUAACGUGCCCCGGACGCAGGGAUAGCCGGCUGAAAGGCCGGGUAAUACCUGAUGAUAUACCUUUGCCGCAUGGCGAAGGUCUCAAAGGUCCGCCGGUCUGGGGAGCGGGCGAUUUCGUAUCAGCUAGUUGGUGAGGUAACGGCUCACCAAGGCUUCGACGCGUAGCCGGACUGAGAGGUUGGCCGGCCACAUUGGGACUGAGACACUGCCCAGACUCCUACGGGGGGCUGCAGUAACGAAUCUUCCGCAAUGCACGAAAGUGUGACGGAGCGACGCCGGCGUGUAGGACGAAGCCCUUCGGGGUGUAACGUACUGUCAGGGGUUAGAAAGUUCUGAUCAACCCAGAGGAAGGCACGGCUAACUCUGUGCCAGCAGCCGC